AUAAAAUGUAAUCAUAAUACUCGGUACAUUAUAACAGCAUCCAACAGGUAGCUGAGGUACGGGACAACUCCUCGUCAGGUAUGUAAUCGUGUCCGGCGGGUGGCUGAGGUACGGGACAAUUCCUCGUCAGGUAUGUAAUCCUGUCCGGCGGGUGGCUGAGGUACGGGACAACUCCUCGUCAGGUAUGUAAUAGUGACCGGCGGGUGGCUGAGGUACGGGACAACUCCUCGUCAGGUAUGUAAUUGUGUCCGGCGGGUGGCUGAGGUACGGGACAACUCCUCGUCAGGUAUGUAAUCCUGUCCGGCGGGUGGCUGAGGUACGGGACAACUCCUCGUCAGGUAUGUAAUAGUGAUCGGCGGGUGGCUGAGGUACGGGACAACUCCUCGUCAGGUAUGUAAUAGUGACCGGCGGGUGGCUGAGGUACGGGACAACUCCUCGUCAGGUAUGUAAUAGUGACCGGCGGGUGGCUGAGGCACGGGACAACUCCUCGUCAGGUAUGUAAUAGUGACCGGCGGGUGGCUGAGGCACGGGACAAAU